UAUAAGAUCUUCUACUAAGGUCGCCCACGUCCUGUGGGCAACGUAGAAGUCAACACAUCCUGUG
rnacentral:sRNA from 1 species